rnacentral:rRNA from 1 species
UUAAAGAGUUCUAUAACUCCCAAACCCAUGUGAACAUACCUAACGUUGCCUCGGCAGGUCGCACCUACCUUGUAGCACCCUACCCUGUAGGGCCUACCCGGGAGGUGCGGGUAAGCCUGCCGGCGGCCCACCAAACUCUGUUUGAUAUUGAAUUCUGAACCUAUAACUAAAUAAGUUAAAACUUUCAACAACGGAUCUCUUGGUUCUGGCAUCGAUGAAGAACGCAGCGAAAUGCGAUAAGUAAUGUGAAUUGCAGAAUUCAGUGAAUCAUCGAAUCUUUGAACGCAUAUUGCGCCCAUUAGUAUUCUAGUGGGCAGGACCGUUCGAGCGUCAUUUCAACCCUUAAGCCUUCGUUGCUUAGUGUUGGGAGCCUACGGCAACGUAGCUCCUCAAAGUUAGUGGCGGAGUUGGUUCACACUCUAGACGUAGUAAUUUUUUAUCUCGCCUAUUAGUUGGACUAAUCCCCUGCCGUAAAACCCCUAAUUUAUCAAGGUUGACCUCGAAUCGGUUCAGACAAACUCGCUAAAUUGAAGCAUCUUAGUCAGCGAAGGAAAAGAAACCAACAGGGAUUGCCCUAGUAACGGCGAGUGAAGCGGCAACAGCUCAAAUU